rnacentral:rRNA from 1 species
CGAAAGCGUGGGGAGCGAACAGGAUUAGAUACCCUGGUAGUCCACGCUGUAAACGAUGUCAACUAGCCGUUGGGGAUCUUAGUAUCUUUAGUGGCGUAGCUAACGCGCUAAGUUGACCGCCUGGGGAGUACGGUCGCAAGAUUAAAACUCAAAUGAAUUGACGGGGGCCCGCACAAGCGAUGGAGCAUGUGGUUUAAUUCGAUGAUAC